UGAAUCACCUCUCAUCUUCUCCAGAAGUUGGAAGCAUCAAGAAUCUAAAUAAGCAUUUAUGAUGACUGGCAUGAAUAUUAGAGACGGGGUUUCGCCGUGUUAGCCAGGAUGGUCUCAGUCUCCUGACCUCGUGAUCUAACUGCUCCGGCCUCCCAAAGUCCUGGGAUUACAGGCAUGAGCCGCUGCGCCCGGCCCAUCAGUUUUCUUUGUAUAGCUCCGAACACUAUAACAACCAGGAGUCCCUCUGAUUGAAGAUAAACCUCAAAGAAAUAAGUCUGAGAGCUACAAGGGUUCGCUCUAUUCAGUAGAGUCCACACUGUUCUCUCCUUCAUCGUGCCUAUUUUAUGAACUUGAACAAGGAAGUUGCCACAACAUCUGUGGGCCAGAGAAUUAUGCCAGAAUGUUAUUUCCAGACUGCUUCCUGUAUUUACAAAGACAGGUGAAGACAGAACAAGAAAACAAACCAAGAAUUUCCCCUCACCAGCCACCAGCUCUGCCAGCAACUUGAUCUUAGACUUCCCAGCCUCCAUAACG